rnacentral:sRNA from 1 species
UUUAUUCUGUCCCCUGUAAAAUAU